rnacentral:rRNA from 1 species
GACGGGGGAUGCAAGUGUUAUCCGGAAUCACUGGGCGUAAAGGGUCCGCAGGUGGCCCGGUCAGUCCGCUGUCAAAGCCUGGGGCUCAACCCUGGAGAGGCGGCGGAGACCACCGGGCUUGAGUCCGGUAGGGGCAGAGGGAAUUCCCGGUGGAGCGGUGAAAUGCGUAGAGAUCGGGAAGAACGCCAAGGGCGAAGGCACUCUGCUAGGCCUGAUUUCGCGACUGACACUCAGGGACGAGAGCCAGGGGAGCGAAUGGG